rnacentral:rRNA from 1 species
GACGUAGGAGGCGAGCGUUGUCCGGACUCAUUGGGCGUAAAGAGCGCGCAGGCGGCUUGGUAAGUCGGAUGUGAAAUCCCGAGGCUCAACCUCGGGUCUGCAUCCGAUACUGCCCGGCUAGAGGUAGGUAGGGGAGAUCGGAAUUCCUGGUGUAGCGGUGAAAUGCGUAGAUAUCGGGAGGAACACCAGUGGCGAAGGCGACUUCCUGGCCUGUUCUUGACGCUGAGGCGCGAAAGCUAGGGUAGCAAACGGG